AGAGAGAGAGAGAGAGAGAGAGAGAGAGAGAGGAAUAUAUACUUAUAGCCUUUGUGUCAGAAACUCUGGAUUUGGGAGGAGUAUGGCCUGAGGGCUAUAUAGCAGAGGCCCACGUAGCUGAGCUGAGAGGGCUGAGCAACCGACCAGGGCAUGUGAACAUUGCCUGCAGGUGUGACACCAGUCAUCAAUGGAAACAAGCAACCAGGAAGUUCAAAGGAUGAAAUCAGUACAGAAAGAGGAAGGCGAUUUCUUUGCAUCACGCAGAAGUGACUACCGUCGUAAUCGUACCACUGCCUCCCUGUCUUGAAGCUGGUCCUGUGGCUUGAGGGCAACUGAAGGCCAGAUUCAAUGGAGCUUACAGUACCUGAAUGUGGAUUAAGAAAUACUCUCAGACUAGACCAUGGAUCAACUUCUCAGGCAUCAAUUUCACCUAUGAAAUUUUGGCCAACAUGUAAGAAAUUCAGCUACUCUGAAGCUACCAUGCUGGAAAGGCCAUGUGGAGAAAAAACAUGGACAUAAAGAUGCUUGGGCUCUAGCUGUUUCAGCCUUCAGCUGUCUGAGACUUCCUAGUCUAGGCACCAGGCAUGUGAAUGAAGAUCCUUCAGAGAAUUCCAGCCUUUAAGCUGCCCAGCUGCUGCCAAGUGAGACAGAGAUGAGCUGUCCCUGCUGAGCCCUAAAGCUGCAGAUUCAUGAGCAAAAUAAAUGUUGUUGUUUUAAGCCACUAA